rnacentral:lncRNA from 1 species
GUAGAACAAAAAGAUUCUGGUUCGAUCAAACUGUGAUCUUUUGAAGCUAUUAUGGUGUGUAUUUAUACUCUGUGAGGUCGUCUUGUCUUGUAAAUCUUGAGAGAUUGCAAACCCAAGGGAGUUGAUCUCAAGAGGAAUCGUAGAUUGAUUUUUUUUCAAGAAUAUGACAUUGCUUCUGCUGAUUUUUCUUGACUUGUGGUCUUGAUUGUAUUUUUCUUUGAUUGAGCAAAUAUUCCCGUUAUUUGAAGUAUCAAAUUAGAUCCCUUGGUUGCUGCUUUGAUUGACGUCCUUAGAUGGAGGAAUCUCUAGUACAAUUUCGUGCUUUUGAUUACCUUUGAUUGAGGUCCUUCCUCUAAUAUCCUCCUUAAUCUUCUACCAAGUCCUUGAUUGAUUUCGCCUUUGAAUUUUCGCUACUCCUUCCUUUUUUGUCUUGAUUCUUCGAUGCUUCCUUUUCAUUGCUCAAGCAGUAUUGUUGCACAUAAAAUAUAAUAUGCUAUUUUGCAUAAUUAAAAUAAAUAUAUAUCUAAUAAUCUCCCACUUUUUGACGAUGAUAAAAUAAUAAUGUGAUUACUUCAGUUUGCUUCCCUGUUUAACAGGCGACUAAGCGUUUUCCAUAGUCGACUCCCCCUCAAUUUGUGUUCCUUGUCAGAUGUGGCUAAUUGACUCCCCCUCGACUUGACAUCCUAUUGAGCAGUGGUUGUAGUCGAUUCCCCAUCCAAUUACCUGCAAGUUUCAUAGAGAUAUAAGACAACAAUAAGAAAAUUUACAAAACACAGAAUAGCCACCAGUAGACAGGGAUUACAAGC